AGUGAACGCUGGCGGUAGGCCUAACACAUGCAAGUCGAACGGCAGCACAGUAAGAGCUUGCUCUUACGGGUGGCGAGUGGCGGACGGGUGAGGAAUACAUCGGAAUCUACUUUUUCGUGGGGGAUAACGUAGGGAAACUUACGCUAAUACCGCAUACGACCUACGGGUGAAAGCAGGGGAUCUUCGGACCUUGCGCGAUUGAAUGAGCCGAUGUCGGAUUAGUUAGUUGGCGGGGUAAAGGCCCACCAAGGCGACGAUCCUUAGCUGGUCUGAGAGGAUGAUCAGCCACACUGGAACUGAGACACGGUCCAGACUCCUACGGGAGGCAGCAGUGGGGAAUAUUGGACAAUGGGCGCAAGCCUGAUCCAGCCAUACCGCGUGGGUGAAGAAGGCCUUCGGGUUGUAAAGCCCUUUUGUUGGGAAAGAAAAGCAGCAGGUUAAUACCCCGCUGUUCUGACGGUACCCAAAGAAUAAGCACCGGCUAACUUCGUG
rnacentral:rRNA from 1 species